rnacentral:tRNA from 2 species
GGAGGGGUGGCCGAGCGGCUUAAGGCAGCGGUCUUGAAAACCGCCGUUCCGCAAGGAACCAGGAGUUCGAAUCUCCUCCCCUCCGCCA